rnacentral:rRNA from 1 species
UACAGAGGGUGCGAGCGUUAAUCGGAAUUACUGGGCGUAAAGCGCGCGCAGGCGGUUUUGUAAGCCAGAUGUGAAAUCCCCGGGCUUAACCUGGGAAUGGCAUUUGGGACUGCAAGGCUUGAGUGCGGCAGAGGAGACUGGAAUUCCUGGUGUAGCAGUGAAAUGCGUAGAUAUCAGGAGGAACACCGAUGGCGAAGGCAGGUCUCUGGGCUGACACUGACGCUCAUGCACGAAAGCGUGG